CCAGUGGGUCCUGGCCUUUGAGAUCUUCAUCCCCCUGGUGCUGUUCUUCAUCCUGCUGGGGCUGCGGCAGAAGAAGCCCACCAUCUCCGUGAAGGAAGAGUCCCUGAGGUGUGGUGCCUGUUCCUCUGUGCGGUCCUGGGCCGUGCCUCCUGGCUGGGCUAUGGAGGUCGGGGCUGGCCUGUGGCCUCGAAUGAUGAUGCCAAUGCCUGUUCCUGGUGAUGUGGGCACUCACUGGUCUCCUCUGUUCUGUUUUGA